GACGAACGCUGGCGGCGUGCUUAACACAUGCAAGUCGAACGGAAAGGCCCUGCUUUCGUGGGGUGCCCGAGUGGCGAACGGGUGAGUAACACGUGAGUAACCUGCUCUUGACUUUGGGAUAACUUCAGGAAACUGGGGCUAAUCCCGGAUAGGAGCCCCCGCUGCAUGGUGGGGGUUGGAAAGUUUCGGCGGUUGGGGAUGGACUCGCGGCUUAUCAGCUUGUUGGUGGGGUAGUGGCUUACCAAGGCUUUGACGGGUAGGCAGCAUGGGAGGGUGAACGGGCACAUUGGGCCUGAGAUACGGCCCAGACGCCUACGGGAGGCAGCAGUGGGAAAUAUGGCACAGUGGGCGGGAGCCUGAGGCAGAAGCGCCGGGUGCGGGAAGACGUCCUUCGGGUUGUGAACAGCUUUCGCCUGUGACGAAGCGUGAGUGACGGUAAUGGGUGAAGAAGCACCGGCUAACUACGUG
rnacentral:rRNA from 1 species